AUUUCCCACAGCUGUGUUCCUCUCCCACUUUGCCCUGAGCCCCCAAGGUGGGCCCGUCUCGAACCACCCACAUUUGGAAUGAAAGGCGGCGUGAAGGAUGCUGCCCUGUGGGACAGGCCACCAGGCCAGGAGAGCACUCAGGAUGCACGGUGACUUGUCCCCUCUGGGCCAAUCAGCCUUCUCCCAAGUCUCAGUCGGGGUGGGUGAGGGGUGUCUUUGCUGGCUCCUGGGCUGGAUGACUGGGGAGACAAUGGGAAGAACAGCAACACCUAGAACACAGGCGUCGGUGCACGUCUCAGAGGAAGGCCGGGGGCCGUGCUGCUGGCUCCAGACCACGUCAGUGGUGGGAGCCUCCAUCUGUCUGGAGUCCGGGUGCCACGCAGCGCCAGCAGCAGUGCCAGGGCAGCCCUUUCAGUCUGUCCAGAGCAGAAGAGAGAUCUCAGUGCAACGUAAAAGUGAGACCACCCCGCACGUCUGUCUGUGCAGCUACUUACCUGCAGACACAGUAAAAUUCACCCCUCUGGUGUGCAGCUCUGAGAGUCUUAAGAAACAUCAUCACAGUCAAGGUGAUCCUUGUUGAAAGUCUGUUGAUUCCUGCGGGGCCGGCUCCUGGACUCUGCUCUGUCCCAUUGCUCUUUCCGCAUGCCCUGUGGCUCAUUCCAUGCCUGCCUGAUUCCUGGGGCUCUAGGGUAAGCCUGGACAUGGUGGUCCAGGCCCAGGCGGGGACCAGCUGGUGCCAGGCAGCGAUAUGGUGCUGGGGCCUGCAAGGAUGUGCUGGUUUUGUCCAGUGCCACCGGCCACAGUCACCAUGUAAUAUGGACGGAACGAGCAGAGCUCAGCUCGCUGAGGGCUGCAGGCUGCAGGCAAGUGAGGACUGAAAGGGUAACGGACUCCAGGCUUUGUCCUCUCUUUGUUCCGGACGUGUGAGCAGGACAGGUUCUGUGUAUUCAGAAUCUGUCUGCACAGAGUUUGUAGUUGACGAUGACUGUUUACACAGACUUGCUUUGUGUGGGCGUCCUCUCAUUUGAUCUUCUCAAAACAGCCCCUGCUAUGGGGUCAUUUUUUCCAUUCACGCACAAGAACCCAUGGAGCCUGCCCAGGGUCAUGUGGCUAGUAAGUGACGCAGACACACACACACACUUCCCAGGCAGUCACAUGGCCAGGAGCACGGUGGCCUCUUCAAUGGCCCUGAUUGGAGACGACAGAGAAGAUGGACAGUGGCCCCCCCAGCCUUUUUUACUGGAACAGAUACAAGGCUGAGACCAGGAGCAGCCCAGGGACCGCGGUCCACACCGAGGGUGUCAGGAGCAGCCCAGGGACCGCUGCCCACACCAAGGGUGCCAAGGAGCAGACAGGAGCCCAGAGGCCUGGGGGAGGCUCCCCCUCCCCGCACUGGAAUCAGAACUCCCAGGCGAACAGGAAGGAGCCCCAGACAGAUGGUACAGGGAGAGGGGUCCCCGGCUGAGAAAGGGGAUACAGAGACCCUGAAGUUUCAGGGUACUUGGGCAAGAAAUGUGAGAGCACCAGUCCCCAAGUCUUCAGCUACCGUCUGCAGGUUUCCUCAGGUGCCAAAGACAAUGCCUCGGCGCUGGAGACAUUCCCUUUUCUCUAAAACAGAAUCAAGUAUCUGAUUUUGUCCUUGCCUCUAAAUCACCAGCAGUGUCAGUUCUUUGGUUUGGAAAAAAGUAAGCAAAGUCGCCUCAGCAUUAAACCCAACAUGCCCCACAAAAGCUCCAAAAUGCAGCCUCCUGAGCCGUGUUUCUGGAGGGCACGGUGGAGAAGAGCCUUCCUCACUCUCGGGCUCUAACCCCCACCCUGGUGGCCGUGGCUUUGGCACUCGGGUCGGCUCCAGCCGCAGGCUCUGGGCUCGCAUGGCCUCACUGCGCAGUGCCCGCUCCGUGCUUGGGGGAGGGAGAGAAGCCGGGGGGAGGGUGAGCUCUGUCGCGGUUAUGGUUACGGGCGGGCGGGCGUGCCCCGUGCGAUUCCUGUGGAGGGAGAUGAAUAAUUCAUGGCCGACGACUGCUGGGCCUAAUCACACUCUAAUUGGAGGCUGAGUUCAGAGGCGCUCACAGCUCCUGGGCCGCUCUGUGGUGUUGACAGGGAGCUCCAGGACCUUACUGGUGGUUUCCCUUCCCUGGGUCCCAGGCACGCAGAGCACCAGGGCAUCCCAGACACCAGGACAGGGGCCGCAGGCCAGUUAGAGUUAUCAGGGAGGGGCUGGCUGACAGAGAUUUUAGAAGUGGGCUGUGGCAGGAAGGCAGUGCCGCCCACCUGCCUGCGGCCACGCCCAUCUACAUUGGCCCUCUCAGGGCCGGCCUUUGUUUACUCCCUUGAGCUCUCACAUCUACACUGUCACAUGCCCGGGGCACAACGAAUGGCACCUGGAGGGCGGGGGCCCGUCCCUCAAUCUCUCAUGGGCAGUGCCACUACUCGUCUUCUGCAGAAUCCAGACACCAUCCCAGAGCCUCUUCAGCCUCUGCAGAUGAUGUGGGACGGCCACACGGCCUCCCCACCUGCGGCCCCGCCCCAACCCCAACUGUGCCGUGUCCUGGCGCCGCAUCCCCACCCCAGUAGAGGCAUCA